GAAGGAGAUUACUGCUGCCCACGGGGAAAAAGGAGAACAGAAAUGGGAAAGCCGUAUUGAGAGGAUGUUUGAGAACUGUGAAAGACAGAAAGCAGACCAGAUUGCCAUGCCUAAACCACUUUCUUUGAAGUUUAUGGAAGCACCACUGCAUUUAUGCCAGAAGGUGAAAGUCCAGAACAGGUGCUUUUUGGUUUGAGAAUGAGUGUUCUACAUACUGGCCUGUAAGGCAGUGCUACUCCAAGUGUGGUCCACAGGCUGGCAGCAACAUCAUAGGGGAGUAUGUUAACAAUGCUGAUUCUCCAGCCCCAGCUCCGGACUCUGUUUUAACGGUCUAUCCAGGCAUGAAUUCUACUCAAGUGGCCUGCCCCUCAGCAGAAGUUGGACAGGUGCUUAUGUUGCAAUUAACAAAAAGGAUACAUGCUGGGUCCUGCAGUAAAUGUCUCCCUUGGAUCAUGAAGUCUUUUUACCAUGUUACUGGAACACAGAAGGGUACUAUUGAGAACCAACUAACUUGGAGCCGUGUAUGAGCCACUGGGAAUAGACUAAAUGAGAUAAUCAACGUCUUGAUCUCAUAUUCUUUCAUUCUACAGAAGGAAGCAGGCAACAGGUUGCAAUACGAAGUGGAGUUAAAGCAACUAGAAGGAAGUGUCAGUAACCAAGCUGAGAGAGGCUGGAAGGAAAACAAUUCAUGCAGCAGAAAAGAAAGCCUUUUGAGCACUGUGAUGUCAGAAGGUGACUUGGAAGAUGAUCUAAAUGUUAAACUGGCAGUGAAGAUGCGCAGAGGUUGUAGUUCUGCUCCCCUCCCCGUCAG
rnacentral:lncRNA from 1 species